AGAGAAAAGUGACAUUUUGUCUAUAUUUUAGGGAAUCUGUUAAGGUAAUUUGCUACAGGUGCUCUUAGUAGAACUCAAUCCAUUAUAGUUUAAUGGUUAAAUAGAAAACAAAAACAUGUUAUCUUCAAAAUGUCAUAUUCAUUGACAUGUCAUUUCAACAUAAUGUCUUGCUUUUAUUUCAUUCUUUUUAGUGUGUUCUUUUUAUUGUGUUCUUUUUAAAUAUUUUUCAAUAAAUGAUGUUGUUUUUAUUAUUGAUUCUUAAGUGUGAGCGAGAUCUUGAACCUUACUCCUUUUUGAAAUCCUCAAGAAUUUCAAUCAAUAUAUGUUGACCAACCUAUUUUAAUUUAAACAUAUUAUAAUUUAUUUAUUUUUGAUAUAGGUUUCAAACAUCAUAUAUGUUGAUCAACCUAUCGGAACAGGUUUUAGUUUCACUUCUAACAAAAAUGAUAUAAGAAGCGAUCAAAUUGGUAUAAGCAAUGAUUUGUAUGAUUUUUUACAGGUUCAAUUUUUUCCUCAUCCUAUCCAUUCUUAAUUCAGUUAAUAAAAUCUUAUAAUUUACAUUUUUUUUACAAUGAUAGGAAUUCUUUAAACUAUAUCCUGAUUUUGUUAGAAAUAAUUUUUUCAUAACUGGACAAUCUUAUGCUGGCCACUAUGCUCCUGCUUUGGCUUCUCGGAUACAGGAAGGAAAUAGAAAAAAGGAGGGAAUUUAUAUAAAUCUUAAGGGAUUCGCUGUUGGUAAUGGACUUACAGAUUUAAAAAUUCAAUACCCUUCAAUACCAGAUUAUGCUUGGUCUGAGAGUCUAAUAACACUCGAGCAGUACAACCAAAUAAAGCAAUUGAAUCCUAUAUGUGAUUCAUAUAUAGAAACUUGUCGUGCGUAUUAUUUUUUACAUCCAAUUAUUUUUUGUUAUUUAUAUUAUUUUUACAUGUUACGACAUCUGGUUUCUGGAGGAGAGAAUCACUUUAUUGAUAUAUUCUGGGCAUUUGUUGAAAUAAUUAAGAGAGUUAAACAAUAAAUGCACUUGAUUGACAAUUUGUGAAUGUUGCUUUUUGUUAGGCACUGGUAACGAUACUGCUUGUUUGAAUGCAUAUACGUUUUGUGAGUCAAUAUUACAAGAAACGCUUAGAACUGGAAAUUUUGAUGUAAGAAAUCCUAAGACAAUCAUCUCUUCAUGUGUGUGUAUGUGUGUUCUUACAAACAUAAUUAUGAAACUUGAACUUGAACUUCCAUGUGUUUGUGAUAUAUAGUCUAAAGACAUUAGAAAGACUCGUGGAGCUAGUGGUGACUACUCAAUGUUGACAUCAUUUAUGAAGAAGCAAUCAGUACAUGAUGCUUUGGGCGUGUCAGAUAGAUUAUUUGUUACGUUGAGUAUGCCUGUAUAUAAUGCAUUAAAGAGGGAUAGGGUAAAAAAUCUUGAAGUGGGUAUUCCAGCUCUACUUCAGAAUGAAAUCAAAGUUCUUAUUUAUGCAGGAGAUAGAGAUCUUGUUUGCAACUGGAUUGGUAAACUUCACAGGAAAAUAUAUGUAUCGUAUUCAUAAUUUAUUUUUUGUUUGCAACAAAGUUUAUGUAUAUUGGUGUUUAUAUUUGAUCAGGAAAUUUUCGAUGGGUCUCGAAUAUGGAAUGGCAUGACAAACAAAAAUUUAUAAAGUCUAAAGUUGUUACAUUUAAAGUUGAUGGAAAUAAUUCAGGAUUGAUGACUAGCUAUGGACCUCUCACUUUUAUCAAGGUUUAUGAAGCUGGACACAAUGUUCCAUGGGAUCAACCAAAAAUUGCUUUGCACAUGAUAAAAAGUUGGAUGCAAGGAGAAUUCUAAGCAUAGU